CUAACUUAAAGGACGCCGGCUAGCUCUCUCGGGGGUACCCUUUUGAGAAUUUUCCCCGUGUCUUUUGCGUACUUCUUGGUUCCUUGGUGGGUUCGACCACCACUAGGAGAAACAUGAACCUUUUGUAAUUGCAAUCAGCGUUUUAACUUAUUAAUAAUUACGUUUUUCAACAGAUGAUCUAUUGGUUCUGGCAUCAAUGAAUAACGCAAGGAAAUGCGAUAAGUAGUGUGAAUUGCAGAAUUCAGUGAAUCAUCGAAACUUUGAACGCACAUUGCGCCCUUUGUUAUUCCAAAGGGCAUGCCUGUUCCAGCGUGGUUUGUACCCUCUAGCUUUGCUUGGGGUUGGGCGUCUUGUCUCUAUCUUUGCGGGAUACCCCCCUUAAAGUAAUUGGCAGCCGGCCUACUGUUUAAGGAGCGCAGCACAAGUCGCCCUCUCGGUCAGCAAAGGUCUCCCAUCCUUUAAUCCUUCUUUUCUUCUUUUGACCUCAGAUCAGGUUGGGAUACCAACUCAACUUAAGCAAAUCUUA
rnacentral:rRNA from 1 species